rnacentral:rRNA from 1 species
AGUGGCGAACGGGUGAGUAACGCGUAAUCAACCUGCCCUUCAGAGGGGGACAACAGUUGGAAACGACUGCUAAUACCGCAUACGAUCUAACCUCGGCAUCGAGGAAAGAUGAAAGGUGGCCUCUAUUUAUAAGCUAUCACUGAAGGAGGGGAUUGCGUCUGAUUAGCUAGUUGGAGGGGUAACGGCCCACCAAGGCGAUGAUCAGUAGCCGGUCUGAGAGGAUGAACGGCCACAUUGGGACUGAGACACGGCCCAGACUCCUACGGGAGGCAGCAGUGGGGAAUCUUCCGCAAUGGACGAAAGUCUGACGGAGCAACGCCGCGUGAGUGAUGACGGCCUUCGGGUUGUAAGGCUCUGUUAAUCGGGACGAAAGGCCUUCUUGCGAACAGUUAGAAGGAUUGACGGUACCGGAAUAGAAAGCCACGGCUAACUACGUGCCAGCAGCCGCGGUAAUACGUAGGUGGCAAGCGUUGUCCGGAAUUAUUGGGCGUAAAGCGCGCGCAGGCGGAUCAGUCAGUCUGUCUUAAAAGUUCGGGGCUUAACCCCGUGAUGGGAUGGAAACUGCUGAUCUAGAGUAUCGGAGAGGAAAGUGGAAUUCCUAGUGUAGCGGUGAAAUGCGUAGAUAUUAGGAAGAACACCAGUGGCGAAAGGCGACUUUCUGGACGAAAACUGACGCUGAGGCGCGAAAGCCAGGGGAGCGAACGGGAUUAGAUACCCCGGUAGUCCUGGCCGUAACGAUGGGUACUAGUGU